GAACACUAGAACACCACAACAAUAACCCAAACAGACUUUCUUUCAGGCUAUUGUUUGUUUUUCAAGUUCAUUCAUCUCCCUCAAAAUCACUUACUCCAUGUCUCCUGUCCUCAUUCACGAAACCUCACCCCCUAUGUCAUUCUAUAGUUUAAACUGCUAUUUAAGUUUCAACAAUUGGGGCUUUUGAGUCUCAUGUUUUUUUGUGGUUGUCAUGUGCAUAUGUGCAUAAUAAAUGUGUAUACCUUUUUCUCCUAUCAAUCUGUCUACUAUCAGUUUCUUUGUAUAGACUCACAGGGCAGGGGGAUCUUCCUUUUGUGCCUACAAAGACCAUCCCAUGGGGCACAAGUAUGUAAUCCCAGUGACUUGGGAAGCUGAGACAGGAGGAUCAUAAGAUGAAGGCCAGACUCAGGAAUUACUGAGCCCCUGGCUGGGGGUAUAGCUCAGUGGUAGCAUGCCUCUAGGUUCAGUCACCAGUAACACACACACGAUUCUCCUGUGGCUGGUAUAGCUAAGUGGUAGAGCACUUGCUUAGUAUGCAUAUGGCUCUGGGUCCCAUCACUAGCAUUGUAGACAACAAAAAACAAAACAAAGCAAAACCAAACUGUCCCAGUCAGGACACAACUGAUCCAUUUGUCCCAGAAUGAGGUGAAC
rnacentral:lncRNA from 1 species